rnacentral:rRNA from 1 species
AACCUGGUUGAUCCUGCCAGUAAUAUAUGCUUGUCCCAAAGAUUAAGCCAUGCAUGUGUAAGUUUAAACUGAUUUUUACAGUGAGACGGCGGACGGCUCCGCAACUCAGUUAUAAUUAACUUGACAAUCUCUGCUACACGGAUAACUGUCGCAAAUCGAGAGCUAAUACGCGCAUGAAGGCCUGACGCAAGGAGGGCUGUGCUUAUUGGAUACAAAACUGACGGCAGCAAUGCCAUUGGUGAUUCACAAUAAUCUAACGGAUCGCAGGACCAUGAGUCGGCGACGAGUCAAUCAAAUUUCUGCCCUAUCAACUUUCGACGGUGGGAUAGGGGCCCACUGUGGUGAUGACGGGUAACGGGGAAUUAGGGUUCGAUUCCGGAGAGGGAGCCUGAGAAAUGGCUACCACAUCCAAGGAUGGCAGCAGGCGCGCAAAUUACCCAAUGCCGAGUCGGCGAGGUAGUGACAGGAAAUAACGAUGCGGGGCCGCGAGGCCUUGCAAUUGGAAUGAGUACAAUUUAAAACGCUUAACGAGUAACGAUUGGAGGGCAAGUCUGGUGCCAGCAGCCGCGGUAAUUCCAGCUCCAAUAGCGUAUAUUAAAGUUGUUGCAGUUAAAACGCUCGUAGUCUGAUGGGGUGUUGUUGUGACGGGGGUGUCCGCGAGGAUGCACUGGUGCGACGGCACGUGUGGCUGCCGCAAGGCAGCCGGUUACUUUGAGGAAAUUAGGGUGUUCAAAGCAGGCGAUUGCUUGGAUACUGCAGCAUGGAAUAACGGAAUAGGACUUGCCGUCUUGUUUUGUUGGUUUGGAGGGGCGAGUAAUGAUUAAUAGGAGCAGUUGGGGGCAUUGGUAUUUGGUAGCUAGAGGUGAAAUUCUUGGAUUUACCAAAGACUAACUAGUGCGAAAGCAUUUGCCAAGGAUGUUUUCAUUGAUCAAGAACGAAAGUUAGGGGAUCGAAGACGAUUAGAUACCGUCGUAGUCUUAACCAUAAACGAUGCCGACUGGGGAUCAGCGGGAGACGCAUUGCGUGCUCGUUGGGACUUUGCGAGAAAUCAAAGUUUUUGGGUUCUGGGGGGAGUAUGGUCGCAAGGCUGAAACUUAAAGGAAUUGACGGAAAGGGCACCACCAGGUGCGGCUUAAUUUGACUCAACACGGGAAAACUCACCAGGUCCGGACAUGGUAAGGAUUGACAGACUGAGAGCUCUUUCAAGAUUCUAUGGGUGGUGGUGCAUGGCCGUCUUAGUUGGUGGAGUGAUUUGUCUGCUUAAUUGCGAUAACGAACGAGACCUCUACGUACUAGUGCUUUGGCUGUUGGUGUUCGCACUGCCAGCGGUAACUAGCGGACAGACUGGGAUUACCAGUAGGAAGUUUGAGGCAAUAACAGGUCUGUGAUGCCCUUAGAUGUUCUGGGCCGCACGCGCGCUACACUGCGUCGGAAAGCGAGUGAAUGAGCCUUGCUCGGAAGGGCUGGGAAAUCUUGUUCAACCGACGCGUGCUGGGGAUAGACCAUUGCAAUUGUUGGUCUUCAACGAGGAAUUCCUAGUAAAUGCGUGUCAUUAGCGCGCGUUGAUUACGUCCCUGCCCUUUGUACACACCGCCCGUCGCUACUACCGAUUGAAUGGCUUAGUGAGGCCUCUGGAGCCGGGGGGACUCGAAAGGGUGCUUUUGGUGAAACUGGACAAACUUGGUCAUUUAGAGGAAGUAAAAGUCGUAACAAGGUUUCCGUAGGUGAACCUGCAGAAGGAUCA